GGGAUUGGAAGGGUUUGUUUCCCAAAUCCCUUGGGAUUGGAAGGUGUUUGUUCCUAAAUUAUUUGGGAUUGGAAGGUGUUUGUUCCCAAAUCACUUGGGAUUGGAAGGUGUUUGUUCCUAAAUCACUUGGGGUCGAAAGGUGUUUGUUCCUAAAUCACUGGAGGAUUUUUGACCAAGGUCUGAAAGGUGUUUGUUCCUAAAUCACCUGGGAUUUUUUACCCAAGGUGUGAAAGGAGUUUGUUCCUAAUUAUUUGGGAUUGAAAUGUGUUUGUUCCUAAAUUAUUUGGGAUUGAAAGAUGUUUGUUCCCAAAUCACUUGGGAUUGAAAGGUGUUUGUUCCUGAAUCAUUUGGGAUUUUUAUCCAGGGUGUGAAAGGUGUUUGUUCCUAAAUUAUUUGGGAUUGAAAGGGGUUCGUUCCCAAAUCACCUGGAAUUUUUAACUAGAGUGUGAAAGGUGUUUGUUCCCAAAUCAUUUGGGAUUUUAACCAGGGUCUGAAAGGUGUUUGUUCCCAAAUCACUUGAGAUUUUAACCAGGGAUUGAAAAGUGUUUGUUCCAAAUCAUUUGGGAUUGAAAGGGGCUUGUUCUAAAUCACUUGGGAUUGAAAAGUGUUUGUUCCCAAAUCACUUGGGAUUGAAAAGUGUUUGUUCUAAAUCAUUUGGGAUUUUUACC